rnacentral:rRNA from 1 species
CCUACGGGUGGCAGCAGUGGGGAAUAUUGGGCAAUGGGCGCAAGCCUGACCCAGCAACGCCGCGUGAAGGAAGAAGGCCCUCGGGUUGUAAACUUCUUUUGUCAGGGACGAAACAAAUGACGGUUCCUGACUCAUAAGUCACGGCUACCUACGUGCCAGCAGCCGCGGUAAUACGUAGGUGGCAAGCGUUAUCCGGAUUUACUGGGUGUAAAGGGCGUGUAGGCGGGAGAGCAAGUCAGAUGUGAAAUUCCAGGGCUCAACCCUGGAACUGCAUUUGAAACUGUUUUUCUUGAGUGAUGAAGAGGCAGGCGGAAUUCCGUGUGUAGCGGUGAAAUGCGUAGAGAUACGGAGGAACACCAGUGGCGAAGGCGGCCUGCUGGACAGUAACUGACGCUGAGGCGCGAAAGCGUGGGGAGCAAACAGGAUUAGAUACCCGGGUAGUC